CUGGAAGUCUCAUUACUGCCUUGAGUGAAAGUAGUAAAUGAAAUAUAAGUAGUUUGUUUGUUUGUUUUACAGAUAUUUUUUUACAGAUCUUAGGCAAACCCAUGUGCAGCUCUAAACUGUGAUAACUGAAAAGGAACCUCUGAACUCUUCACUUGGAGCUGCUAUAUGUGCUUGCCUAGUUGGAAACUGAAUACAGCUGCUCCAGAUAGUCCAUUAGCCACAUCUCAGUGUGUUCCGAUCUUUUUGCCUAGAAGUUGACUUUCCUCUGCUUUGCUCUGGAGGGAUGCUUUGAUGUGCCCUGCCACAUUAUUCUGGUAGAUAUCCUGUGCAUGUCUUGCAACCCACCUGAUGUUAUGAUCACAGUCUAGUUUAACGUUUUGGCUGCUGCUACCAUCCUCCAGCUUCUGAGAUUGUAUCUGCCUGUCAGGAGCAGCAUUCCAGGUGUUAUUUGGCUUCAGAUUUUUGUUACAAGAUUUUUUUUCCUCAUUGUCCUGUUACUAAUUUG
rnacentral:lncRNA from 1 species